UAAGCACUGUUCAGCAAUCACUAAAACAUUGUGUUAUCAACACUGUUUUAAUUACAAACCCAAAACAUAGCCCCAUACAAGCUACUAUGAAGAAAUUUAACUCUACCCCAGUCAAAACCAGUACAGUAGUAAAGGCACAAACAAAAGAGGUGGAAACUUUUGUCUGGUCAGAGACUGACAUAUAUGAGCUCAGUUUUUAUGCAAGAUGAAAUACAUGUUGUAGAAAAAAACCUGAGCCUCCUAGGAGGGCACGGGCCACAAGAUAAUCCCGUACGGCUUCAGUCUGUGGUUGACAACCCAUCCACUUGCUGAGUCAAAAAAGAGAAAGGGUGAUACAGCUUUUCUCUGUAUAUAUUAUGUCAUUUAUAUCAGCUUCCUAUUGCUCUGAGAGCAAAGAAAUCUGCCUUUUGUCAGACAAGCAGCAGAUAAAACAUGUGCAGAAUAUCUGCUGAGUAGGAAUCAAGAAGAUUUUUUAAGCAGAAUGCCACAUUAAGCUACCAUUAAAUAGCAACAGAGCCCAAACGCCGAAACAGAAGCCAUCGAUUUAUGAUUUACCCUCACACACAGCUUUGCAGUCUCAUGCUAUUUCUCUUUCAGUACUUAUUUUUCACCCUCCCCCUCUGGAGUACACCGUUGACAUUGAAGUAAGCCUUAUGGAUUCAUCUUUUCUGGAACCAGUCAAAGAGUAUUUCAAAAAACUUAGUCUUCCAGUUUCAACAAAUAUUUCAAAUGUAGAAAUGACAGUUUCAGAGAUCAACAUUACAACAGUCUGUCUGCCCAGCGAUGAGAACAAGAGCUGUUGUUCUUGUGAAAAUGGAUAUGCCUGGCCAAGUACACUGUGCAGUGACUUGAUAACCUGCCCUUCUGUCAGCCUAGCACCCAACCUGCCCUGCAGCUACGUGAUGGAAAAGCAUUCUCUCAGGCCUUACUGUGAGCCUCAGACUGAAGGUAAGGAGAAACAGUGCUGAACUUCUUUGUUGUACAACUCAUAUACUGGUUAGAAAGUGGAAUAGUGUUAAAGGUGUAAUAAAGCAGCACGUCAGCAUGCCUCUGGGAUUUUCAGCUUCCACUAAACAAAGAAAAUUUCAUCUCAUCA
rnacentral:lncRNA from 1 species